GGGAAACCGAGUCUUAAUUGGGCGUUAAGUUGCAGGGUAUAGACCCGAAACCCGGUGAUCUAGCCAUGGGCAGGUUGAAGGUUGGGUAACACUAACUGGAGGACCGAACCGACUAAUGUUGAAAAAUUAGCGGAUGACCUGUGGCUGGGGGUGAAAGGCCAAUCAAACCGGGAGAUAGCUGGUUCUCCCCGAAAGCUAUUUAGGUAGCGCCUCGUGAAUUCAUCUCCGGGGGUAGAGCACUGUUUCGGCUAGGGGGCCAUCCCGGCUUACCAACCCGAUGCAAACUGCGAAUACCGGAGAAUGUUAUCACGGGAGACACACGGCGGGUGCUAACGUCCGUCGUGAAGAGGGAAACAACCCAGACCGCCAGCUAAGGUCCCAAAGUCAUAGUUAAGUGGGAAACGAUGUGGGAAGGCCCAGACAGCCAGGAUGUUGGCUUAGAAGCAGCCAUCAUUUAAAGAAAGCGUAAUAGCUCACUGGUCGAGUCGGCCUGCGCGGAAGAUGUAACGGGGCUAAACUAUGCACCGAAGCUGCGGCAGCGACACUAUGUGUUGUUGGGUAGGGGAGCGUUCUGUAAGCCUGUGAAGGUGUGUCGUGAGGCAUGCUGGAGGUAUCAGAAGUGCGAAUGCUGACAUAAGUAACGAUAAAGCGGGUGAAAAGCCCGCUCGCCGGAAGACCAAGGGUUCCUGUCCAACGUUAAUCGGGGCAGGGUGAGUCGACCCCUAAGGCGAGGCCGAAAGGCGUAGUCGAUGGGAAACGGGUUAAUAUUCCCGUACUUGGUGUUACUGCGAAGGGGGGACGGAGAAGGCUAUGUUGGCCGGGCGACGGUUGUCCCGGUUUAAGCGUGUAGGUGUGUGUUCCAGGUAAAUCCGGUUCACUUUAACACUGAGGCGUGAUGACGAGGCACUACGGUGCUGAAGCAACAAAUGCCCUGCUUCCAGGAAAAGCCUCUAAGCAUCAGGUAACAUCAAAUCGUACCCCAAACCGACACAGGUGGUCAGGUAGAGAAUACCAAGGCGCUUGAGAGAACUCGGGUGAAGGAACUAGGCAAAAUGGUGCCGUAACUUCGGGAGAAGGCACGCUGACACGUAGGUGAAGUGAUUUACUCAUGGAGCUGAAGUCAGUCGAAGAUACCAGCUGGCUGCAACUGUUUAUUAAAAACACAGCACUGUGCAAACACGAAAGUGGACGUAUACGGUGUGACGCCUGCCCGGUGCCGGAAGGUUAAUUGAUGGGGUCAGCGCAAGCGAAGCUCCUGAUCGAAGCCCCGGUAAACGGCGGCCGUAACUAUAACGGUCCUAAGGUAGCGAAAUUCCUUGUCGGGUAAGUUCCGACCUGCACGAAUGGCGUAAUGAUGGCCAGGCUGUCUCCACCCGAGACUCAGUGAAAUUGAACUCGCUGUGAAGAUGCAGUGUACCCGCGGCAAGACGGAAAGACCCCGUGAACCUUUACUAUAGCUUGACACUGAACAUUGAGCCUUGAUGUGUAG
rnacentral:rRNA from 1 species